GACUUUGAGUGUCUGUACGUCACCGCAGCCGGAAGGCAGGAGAAAGCAUAUCCAGAUGACGAUAAUGGUUGCCGAGUCCGUGUGCUUCACAAAGGAAGGAUUACGCCCCAAAAAGCCCUGCCCGCAAAGGCACCGUGCGCCUGUCCGGCGUUGUGAACUUGAUAUCAUUGAAGGAUUUCGGCGGAGGUUUGUGCAUGUUUUCAUGGAUUGCGAGAGACCGCACCACUAGGACUCAAGAAACCUUGGACCAGGUACCUUGGACUCAGGACAGUGUCCUGCCGUCUUGGUUAUGCUUACCCAGAAGUUGACCAUCUGUGCAGACGUAAAACAAGGCGCUCUCCACUCGCAAGCAACCGCGCGUGAACCGUCUUGCAGAACAAAUAAAAUUUUGUCGUCUG
rnacentral:lncRNA from 1 species